UAGUAUGGCCUCAGUGUCAUAGAAGGCACCAGAUCCCACCUAACCUUGGAAGACAUGUAGACUCAGCUCUGGUGAGUAGUUGGAUGGAAGACCACCAAGGAAUUCCAAGAGCUGGACGCU
rnacentral:rRNA from 11 species